rnacentral:lncRNA from 1 species
GGCCCCUCCUGUGACUAAAGAUCCCUCAUCAUUAAAGGCAACCCCAGGGAUUAAGGAUUCAUCAGCAGCACUUGCCACUUCUACAAGUCUUUCUGCAAAAAAUGUUAUUAAAAAGAAGGGAGAAAUUAUCAUUUUAUGGACAAGAAAUGAUGACCGGGAAAUUUUAUUGGAGUGUCAGAAAAGAGGGCCAUCAUUUAAAACAUUUGCAUAUUUAGCCGCCAAGUUGGAUAAAAAUCCAAAUCAGUCCUAUCAGAAAAAUAGAAUAAUAACUUUAGCAUUUUCUUACAUUACAGAUAAGUUGCUGAAUUCCUGGGACUCUUAACUGAUAUUGCAUACUACACAGAAGCUUCAAAUUCCUCAUGUUUUAAAUGAGCACUAGAGGGAGGUUUAUCACCUUUUUGGUUACCAGAUGAUAAUCUAUAUUUGUUAUUACUCAGUGACUCUCUAAUUUCACAUCAGCAUGUUCAGCUUGUGCUAGUCAUCAUUCUGAUUUGCUUAUCUGUUUUUGGUCAAAAUAUUUAUUUUUAAACAUGUUAGAACUUACCAAAAUGAAAGCAACAGUGAUGUAUUGAAAUCUUAGUUUUGAUAUUUUAAAGAAAUGACUUUCUAGAUUAAAAAAAUAGUUUUGUAGCAUUUUAAACUUAGUGACUAUUUAGUUCAAUUGUUCAUCCAUUUUUUAUUUGCUUUUAUAAUUGCCUCCUUGUUUUGGUAUAUUGUAAAAUAAUUUAAAUAAUGUAUUUAUAAAUAUGUAUAAUUAUGAUGUAAAAUACCGUGUGUAUAUGUAUGUAUGUGUGUUUCUGUAUAUGCACACACAUAAACGGCUUUGCCUAGCCAAGGAUUUUUUUUAUCUGUAUAAAACUUUUUGUAUAAAGUUUGCUUUCAAUAACAGUAAUGUAUAAUAAAACCAUGUAAAGUUUUG